UAGAUAUAAGUUGAAAAUGAGGAUGAGAUCAAUGUAUCUUUUAGAUUCUAAAAAAAUCAACUCAUAUGUAUCAGUUGUUUUACACAGAACAAUAUAUCAACUUUUUAAAAUACGUAAUGUAUCAGAGAUAUAUAUUGAGCAAUGUAUCAUAUGCUAAAUAUAUAUUUGUUUCUCUGAUAUCAAGGCAUGGAAAUUAAAUGUAUUUUCUAUGGCAUACUUAGCCAUAACCGAUAUAAGUGUAGUGUUGUCCUUAUAAAUCUGGUUCUCUUUAACAAUCUUAUUAUUGCAAUUCAUGAUUACAUUCUCAACCAACAAAUCGAUCAAACCCAAUGUCUCAACAUUAUGCGGAUCCAUAAUAUAUAAUGCAAGGAAAUCUGUCUCCAUACCUUCUAAACAAAUUAAUUCACCUAUAUCAACCUCAAAUAUUAUCUCACCUACUUCUUUAUCUAUUAUAGUGAUGCACAACAGAUAUAUCCCAAAGUCUGGCAUACUUUUUUCACCUCAAUAUAAAUCUUUAAUCCCAUAUCUUCAUGGAUCAUCAAUGGCAAUGCAUUACCUUCUACAAUGAAUUUGGCUUCAAUUUUUUUCUAGUUUCAUCAAUUUCAAGUUCAAUAGCUAUCAUAGAAAUUACACUCCGAUAUGAUACAUUUUUGUCAACCAUAAAGUUAUCACAUUUAUAUCCUUUGUAUAUGAUAUUUGAAAUCCAAAGUCCAGAAUGGCAUAAUAAAAUAGAGAUAUUUAUGGUGAUUUUAAACUUCAUUGAAAUUGAUUUGAUAAAUGAUGACGAAAGGAAUUGAAAAUUGGAGAAGAAAGAAAUUUAUAGGAAAUUCUCUUGCACUAUGG
rnacentral:lncRNA from 1 species